GGCAACGUAGAUCCAGAGGCCGGGGGAAUACGGAGGGUGCAAGGGUUAAUCGGGAUUACUGGGCGUAAAGCGUGCGUAGGCGGUGCUUUGAGUCUGCUGUGAAAUCCCCGGGCUCAACCUGGGAAUGGCAGUGGAUACUGGAGAGCUAGAGUGUGAUAGAGGAUGGUGGAAUUCCCGGUGUAGCGGUGAAAUGCGUAGAGAUCGGGAGGAACAUCAGUGGCGAAGGCGGCCAUCUGGAUCAACACUGACGCUGAGGCACGAAAGCGUGGGGAGCAAACAGGAUUAGAUACCCAGGUAGUC
rnacentral:rRNA from 1 species